GACUCAAGUCAGGGGCUUUUUAUUAAGAGUAACUGAAACUGCCUUCCCUCAGAGUGUGUAGUUAUGUUUCUUGAUGUUUUAUUGUGACAAUGACAAUGAAGGCAGCUGGGCGUCAGUAGUGUUUGUGUUUAAUAUGAGAACAGACAUCUGUGUGUAUUUACUGUAUGAAUGUGAUUUUGAUUAUAUGUUUUGUGAAAAGCAUGUAAAUGUAAUGUAAAAUACCUAACUUUCCCCUACAGAGACAAAUAAACAUGCAAGACCUCAGCAUACUACCCACUAUAGAAGUGAUUCUGUCAGAUGUGGUCCAGAGGAUGGCAAUAAUGAUGUGAGUGUUAUGAGAAUGAACUGGUGGAGCUUAUAUAUUACAUUUUUAAAUGUUGUUGUUAAAGACAAAACAGUGACUUACAUCAAGGUCAGGCAACUCAUCCUUUAGUUGAACAUGAUAUCUGUGAAGAAUCACAUCUACAAAAAACAUAGAGCUCUCGCCCUCUCUUUAAGAUCAAAUCCAAUCACAGAUAACACAGAUCUACAGUGACAUGCAAAAGUUGGGCACCCCUGGGCAAAACCUCUGUAACCAUGAACAGUUACGUGGGUAGAAGAAGAAGAGAUCUCCAAAAGGCAUAAAGUUAACGAUGAAACAAUCUUUUCAACAUUUUUAAGAAUAGAUUCAUGUAUUAUUUUUGUUUUAUACAAUUUUAGAGUUAAAAAAGGAA
ensembl:lncRNA